UGGUGGAGUGAUUUGUCUGGUUAAUUCCGUUAACGAACGAGACCUUAUCCUGCUAAAUAGUUGCGCUAACUUUGGUUGGCGAAAACUUCUUAGAGGGACUAUUGAUGACUAAUCAAUGGAAGUUUGAGGCAAUAACA
rnacentral:rRNA from 1 species